GGCCCUUCCAUAAAGCAAACGUAAUGAGCGUAGUGAUUUUAGGAUGGAUCCAAGUCAUCACCAACCAACAAAACCUUCCCAUCAUUAGCUCAAAGUCUAGAAAUUCCUCAAUUCUAAGAAGCUAUAAUUUUAUUCAAGAGGGAAGUUAAAGUAGGAUUGCAAUGAAUACUUUCUAAAUCAUAGGCUACAUUCACAACCUUUCAUGUGUUGUCCUUGGAAGCCGUCUCUUCAUGCUUUACUAGCUUAUCAAGUAAUUAUAUGUGCAUUAUCCAAGUUUAAUCUUUUUUAAUUGGCACAAACCCAUUGGCAAGUUGGCGGGGGUGGGCUCUAAUGGCACUUUAAAUAUGAGAAAAGAUUCUCCAUUUUCUUUGUGUUACUGUAAGUACUGAAAGAGCAUUCUUCUGAGGUAGGACUGAAAAGAUCCAGGGGAAGCAACAAAACUGAACCAAAAAAAAAAAUUUCCCUUUCCUCAUUUUUAUUCCAAUAAAAAAUUUGAGCCACCGGAGACCACUACAUAUACAUCAUGGUGAUCACUGAACUCCCACAUUGAGGGGCGUCCUCAACACUGAGUCAUCUUUGCUUGCUAAAAUGGUUUCAACUUCUCUUUCCUCUUCCAAGGUGAGAAUAUGACCAUGGAUUCUGGCUUUCCCUAAUUAACACCCACAAGAUUAUAUAUUUUGUUUCACAAAAUUUCUUAGCCAUUACUGUUCAGUGUUCUGUUCUAUUUUUGAACUCUACUUAAACAGGAAGAGCAGACCGUCGAGAAAUGGAAAGAAGGCGAUCCCGCUCGCAGGGCCAAAUGGUGGUAUUCAACUUUCCAUACUGUCACAGCCAUGAUAGGUGCAGGUGUUCUGAGUCUUCCCUAUGCCAUGGCUUACUUAGGCUGGUAUAUGUCUACCGCAACUGCAACUCAACUCAAACAAGAAUUUAUAUCUGCAUAAUUAAAACAAGACACUGAAACUACUAAAAAAACUAUAUGUGUUUAUUGCUUUUUCCCUUCUUUCUUUUUUCCCUUUCUCAGGGGUCCAGGAACAAUGUUUCUGCUGUUAUCUUGGUGCAUGACCCUGAACACAAUGUGGCAAAUGAUUCAGCUGCACGAAUGUGCUCCUGGGACUCGCUUUGAUCGCUACAUCGACCUUGGUAGACAUGCUUUUGGGCCAAAACUGGGGCCAUGGAUUGUACUGCCUCAGCAGUUGAUUGUUCAAGUUGGGUGUGAUAUCGUGUACAUGGUCACUGGAGGGAAGUGUCUAAAGAAGUUCAUGGAGAUGGCCUGCGCCACUUGCACACCAAUCAGGCAAUCUUACUGGAUUUUAAUAUUUGGUGGCAUUCACUUCUUCCUGUCUCAGCUCCCUAAUUUCAAUUCUGUGGCUGGUGUUUCAUUAGCAGCAGCAAUCAUGUCCCUCAGGUACUUCUUGACCUACAAAACCCGUAUUAGUGUCUCUGCCCACAAAGUGAAAACAUGAUAGGCUAUUGGAUUUAGAAGCUUUACCAAUUAAAAAAAUGUGAGGAUUUUAGAAUCAAAGAAUAGAUUUAACCUGGUAAGUUUUACAAAAAAAUUCAUUGGCUUGAAAAGUUUUUGUUUUUCUAAAAAUGGAAGAAAAUCUUGUUCAUGAAACUCCUAGUUGAGCAUCUUAUAAAAUUGUAACCAUGAAACUCAGGUGAAGUACUGAAUUUGAUUAGCUUGUAAUCCACCCAACCAGAAUUUCAUUUUGUCAUACAUGAACUUGCUUCUGUCUUGUUUAUGCGGAUUGGGGGUCUAAGACAUCAAUAUAACCAUGAUUUGGACAGUUUGCCACUUCAAUAAGCAUGUUCAUGUAAAUUUUUCUUCUGAUAUUGUACUUCUGUGAUUUACACUAUGUAGGCAAGUUAGGACCUGGAAUUCUAUUAUUGUUGCCUACUUGCCUUGCUGCUAUUUAAUUAGUGUUUUAACUUUGGAUGACAGAGAGAAAUUUCCAGGAACCUUUGGCAAUCACUGGGCCAUGCAUAAAAGCUAUUGCUUUUAGUAGGGUAACCUUAGUCAAUUUUUGAGGGAGAAUAUGUCUUUUACUGAUUACUCUGAUUGGCUGUAGGUUUUGGAGGAUAACUACUCUUGUAGAGUAAAAGGUAUUUAGUAGAGAAGGUUCUCUCUGCUGAAAAUUUUGGUUGCAAACUCAAAGCCAUAGCCAGCAAUUACUAUUGCUUCAAUUAUGUAUAUAUACAGAAGAAAAAAUGGAGCACUAAUAGAACCAGAAAUGCAAGCCAUUGCUUUAGAGAAAAGAGGACAGAUGUUUCACAUUUCAUUUGAUGGUCAAAAGGCGAAAUUAAUAUACAAAUGAAUAGUGAUGGUUCCUAUUUUAUAUAUGUGUAUAUGGAUUUAAUUUGGAUACCCAUUUUUUCGAGAAAUUUAAGAAUCAUGCUAUUGAUAUUUAGUCUCUAAUGUUCUUAGUGCAUUGAGUUUGUUAAUGCAGCUAUUCAACCAUAGCCUGGGCAGGUUGCUUGGGACAUGGUCGGAUUGACAAUGUGAGCUACGCAUACAAACACACUAGCACAGCUGACUACAUGUUUCGCGUGUUCAAUGCUUUGGGUCAAAUUUCUUUUGCAUUUGCUGGGCACGCAGUUGCGCUAGAAAUCCAGGCGACAAUUCCGUCAACUCCUGAGAAGCCUUCAAAAAUACCCAUGUGGAAAGGUGCAGUAGGUGCUUAUUUCAUCAAUGCAAUUUGCUAUUUCCCUGUGGCCCUUAUUGGUUACUGGGCAUUUGGACAAGAUGUUGAUGAUAAUGUGCUUAUGGCACUCAGAAGACCUGGCUGGCUCAUUGCCUCUGCUAAUUUAAUGGUGGUGGUUCAUGUCAUUGGCAGCUACCAGGUCUAUGCUAUGCCUGUUUUCGCGAUGCUGGAGAGGAUGAUGAUAAAAAGAUUGAACUUCCCACCAGGAAUUGCACUUAGACUUGUAACUCGAUCUGCUUAUGUAGCAUUUACGUUGUUCAUUGGAGUCACCUUCCCAUUUUUUGGAGAUCUUCUUGGUUUCUUUGGUGGAUUUGGUUUUGCUCCCACUUCAUAUUUUCUUCCUAGCAUAAUGUGGCUGAUAAUCAAGAAACCUAAGAGAUUCAGCACAAAAUGGUUUAUCAACUGGGCUUCCAUACUCAUUGGGUUGUUCAUAAUGAUAGCAUCAACAGUUGGUGGGUUCCGGAAUAUUGUCACUGAUGCCUCCACAUAUAGAUUCUAUACAUAAAUGAUGGCAAAAUGUAACUGAGUUUCAAGACUCUUCUAUUUUUCUUAGUUGCUUAUGUUAUGUCUUUGCUAAAUUAAGCAAGCAAUUAAUAAAAUGCCACUCUUUGAUCUUUUCUCUACC
rnacentral:misc_RNA from 1 species